CUUGGCAGUGAUAAAUUACCAAUAUACUAUGAUGGUUGUUCUCAACCAAUGGAUCAUAAAUCUCCUUUGGGAUUGAUACCCAUGAGAUAUUAAAUCAUUGAAAGCUGUAACUGUUUAUAAAUAAAGAUGAGGAAGUUUGCAUUAUUAUUCUAAGAAACUAGUAAACAGUGUUUAUUUUUAAAAGAGAUUUUUGUCCUGAGCAUUUCAAGAAAAUUUUCC